AUUAACCUACGGGACGCAGCAGUGAGGAAUAUUGGUCAAUGGGCGGAAGCCUGAACCAGCCAAGUCGCGUGAGGGAAGACGGCCCUACGGGUUGUAAACCUCUUUUGUCGGGGAGCAAAGAGAGUCACGUGUGACUCAUUGAGAGUACCCGAAGAAAAAGCAUCGGCUAACUCCGUGCCAGCAGCCGCGGUAAUACGGAGGAUGCGAGCGUUAUCCGGAUUUAUUGGGUUUAAAGGGUGCGCAGGCGGAGGUGCAAGUCAGCGGUCAAAUUGCGGGGCUCAACCCCGUACUGCCGUUGAAACUGG
rnacentral:rRNA from 1 species